rnacentral:rRNA from 1 species
GGAGUUUGGUCCGUGUCUCAGUACCAAUGUGGGGGACCUUCCUCUCAGAACCCCUACUGAUCGUCGCCUUGGUGGGCCGUUACCCCGCCAACAAGCUAAUCAGACGCAUCCCCAUCAUAUACCGUGAACUUUAGUCCUAAUUAGAUGCCUGCAAAGGACACUAUCGGGGGUUAAUUCGGUUUUCACCGGGCUAUACCCGAGUAUAUGGCAGGUUGGAUACGCGUUACUCACCCGUGCGCCGGUCGCCGUCAUACUGGUGCAAGCACCUGUACACGCUGCCCCUCGACUUGCAUGUGUUAAGCCUGUAGCUAGCGUUCAUC